rnacentral:rRNA from 1 species
AUUGAACGCUAGCGGCAGGCCUAACACAUGCAAGUCGAACGAGUGGCGGACGGGUGAGUAAUGUCUGGGAACCUGCCUGAUGGAGGGGGAUAACUACUGGAAAAGGUAGCUAAUACCGCAUACCAUCGGAUGUGCCCAGAUGGGAUUAGCUAGUAGGUGGGGUAAGGGCUCACCAAGGCAACGAUCCCUAGCUGGUCUGAGAGGAUGACCAGCCACACUGGAACUGAGACACGGCCCAGACUCCUACGGGAGGCAGCAGUGGGGAAUAUUGGACAAUGGGCGCAAGCCUGAUGCAGCCAUGCCGCGUGUAUGAUGAAGGCCUUCGGGUUGUAAAGUACUUUCGGCGGAGAAGCGUUACCUGCAGAAGAAGCACCGGCUAACUCCGUGCCAGCAGCCGCGGUAAUUC